GAGUAUUUUAAUUGCCAAUUAGUGUCAACCACUGCAAAAAAGCCCAAAAGAUGCAAAAAAAGCCCAAAAGAAAAAAAAAGUUCUGAGGAGUCUUUUGCAGCAAAGGAAAGCAACCAUUUUCUCUUGUCUGCUCUCUGCUGUCACUGAAUUCUUUCUUCUUCCUUUCUUGUCUGCUGUCAAAAUUGAUGUAGUUCCGAUUUCCAAUCUAGCAAGGUUUUUCAUUCCUCAAUUCCUUAUCAAGGUUCCAUUCCAACUUUCAAGUACACAUUCUUCAUUUUGCUUUGGUUGCAGCUCUGAUCCCUAAAAUCAAAUGUUACUUCGUCGAAUAAUAACAUGUCCUCACUCCAAAAGGAUGCUGUGCUCUUCUUCUUCUUCUUCUUCUUCUACUAUUAGCAACUGCGACUACACAAGUGCCAUUCAUGAACUCAACAAGGAAAUGGAAUCUGUAUUUGGUGAGCCUCCUGGUGGGGGAUUGGCUAGCUCUGCAAGCAAUGUUCAUGUCAACAAUGAAUCAAAGAUGAUGAUGUCUCAAAAGAUAGAUGAAAAUUCUUUUGAAUUGACUCACACUGGCCAUUCAGGGGAAGCUCAAAUGGUGGAUGUGUCUCCCAAAGAAAGUAGUAAGCGAACCGCCAUUGCCGGUUGCAAGGUACUUCUUGGAAAGAAGGUGUUCAACUUGGUCUCAGCUAAUCAAAUGGCAAAAGGGGAUGUGCUUACCAUCGCGAAAAUCGCCGGCAUAACUGCUGCAAAGCAAACCAGCAGCCUGAUUCCCUUGUGCCAUAACAUAAACCUUACACAUGUGCAGGUGGAUUUGAAGUUGAAUCGCGACGAAUUCAGUGUGAUGAUAGAAGGGGAAGCUGCAACAACAGGAAGAACUGGGGUUGAGAUGGAGGCUAUGACAGCAGUUUCUGUUGCUGGGUUAACAGUUUAUGAUAUGUGCAAGGCUGCUUCAAAAGAUAUAGUCAUUACAGAUAUAAGGCUCAAGCAUAAAUCUGGUGGAAAUAGUGGAGAUUGGUCUUGGAAACAAUAGAUUUGUUUUGAGCAUUCCAAUGGAUUUCCACCACAGAAAGAGAAAGAAUCAUAUUUCUCAGGCCAAGGACUAAUCUGUCGCAAAUUGGAGUUUUAUGGUCUGCUGCUGGUCAAUGGAUUGUUGCAUUUGAACUCCCAACACUUGCUUAAGCGGACUAGUGAGCUAACCACUAGGCCAACCCAACUUGAUUUUUUGUUUCCUAUUAUAUAGAAUUAGAAUGUCAAUUUUGAGUAAGGUCUGAUGGAUUUUGAUUACCUCCAAUUC